GGACUCUUAGCGCAAUGGUUAGAGCUAUCGGCCCAUAACCGAUCGGUUACAGGUUCGAGUCCUGUAGAGUCCACCA
rnacentral:tRNA from 1 species